rnacentral:lncRNA from 1 species
GGUGCACAUGGAAGAAAGCAAACAAAUAUAUAUUGAGGGCUGGAACGUUAGGGCCUGAUGCUUGAAUGGACGAAGCAUUUUUCAUUUCUAUUGUGUUGCAACACUGGACCCAUUUCCUUAUCAUUGAAGAGUGAGUGGUGCUACGGAGGGUGGCUGAUUUCAUCUAAGAAUUGCACAUACGGUAAUCAAAUUGAGGAGAGAAAGCACGUGAUUUCAUUGGAGAGAAGAAAUGCAUUUGCUUUCUUUUAAAGGCUAUGGUCAAGCUGCUACAGGGAGAAUGGACUUUCAUCACCAAUUUAUUUGCUUUUGAAAAAGUAAUGGACUAUCAGGCCCAGUUGUAGCAAAGCGACGGCAAAAUAAAAUGUGCAGCAGUGGGAGAGGCCAGCGAGCGUUGCACAAGUUUGGAGAGUUGCUUGGUGGAAGAGAAGCGUGCUUCAGCUGUAUAAAAAAAUCUGCCACGGCCCAAUUGUUUAGGAUAUGCAACACACCAGCUUGGGAAGCUUCUAGCCUUCAAAAGACAUCACGGCCCAAGACCUGCAGCACGUGAAAGUGAAGUCAGCGUGGAGAUGCAGUGGUGCAACCAGCAGCAGCUUCACUCCACCAUCCAGCAGGUUGCUACCCUCAUGGCCCAAGCAUGCAGCAAACCUCCACUCACGGCCCACUUGCAGCUCCCACG